UACCAGCACCCCGAGUGGUCGGGACGUUUAUUGGGCCUAAAGCAUCCGUAGCCGGUUCUACAAGUCUUCCGUUAAAUCCAGCUGCUUAACAGAUGGGCUGCGGAAGAUACUAUGGAGCUAGGAGGCGGGAGAGGCAAGCGGUACUCGAUGAGUAGGGGUAAAAUCCGUUGAUCCAUUGAAGACCACCAGUGGCGAAGGCGGCUUGCCAGAACGCGCUCGACGGUGAGGGAUGAAAGCUGGGGGAGCAAACCGG
rnacentral:rRNA from 1 species